UUCAGUGACUUUCAUCCAUCCUAACAACAGUUGCUCAUCUGGAUUGCAGGAUACAUGGAUUCUGUCAUCACCUGAACCUGAGACUUGACCGACUGAAUUUCCAGUACCUCGAUUUGCCUGUGAGACAGAGCUUGUGCUUGCCUCAGGAAAUGAAGCUUUCAAGAAGGAUGGAAUUCAACUCAACUUUACCACAAUCCUACCAGACAUCCUUGAGAAACUGGCUGAAAGCAUCUUUCAGUAUGUUGCCUACCCAACAAGUGCACAGUUGUCUGAUGUUGCUGAGGCGAUGAUUCAGAAGCCUCCUUGCUUGAAUCCGGGAUCAUAUAAUGGAUGCUAUGGAUGGCAAUAAAGACUAAAAUAUAAAAUGGGCAACUAUAGAUCUAAGUUGAGAGGGCUUGGAUGCCCUGAGCUUGAUGUUAAUUGUCUCUCAAAGAAGUGAGCACACGAGAGGUGAACUAUUUACCCCGUCAGCCACAAGGACAAACAGAAGCAAGCUUGGAACACAAAAGGGUGGAGCUCCAUAAGCUCCAUAUGAAGUAAAGAAGAGGAACAUCUGUCAGAUUAUCAGUGAAAAAAUUGGAAAGACGUUCUCCAUUCGCUGGCAGGAAGUUGUCAAUCAGGCACCACCAGUCAGUGACUUCAAAGACCGAUGGCCUGCCCUUUUUGAUGCAACUCAGAUAAACCAAGAAUUCAGAAAGAUCACCACUGUGGACCUGGAGACAACAUUUAUGACAAAACUGGACCAGUACACCCCAAAACUAAUGUCCUUGGUGUUCUCCAGAGGAGGGGCUGCAAAAAUGAACAUUCAGCGCAUAAGAAACAUGCUGCCAGAGGAUGAUUCUGCGGGAAGGAGGAGAGAGGUUGCUAUCCGUGGCUUAGUGGUGUAUCUCAGAGAAAAGGAAGAGGAUCUCUUCAAAGAGCAGUUGGAUGGUGGUGGGGACAUUACCAAUUAAGUGAUGAAGAUCGUUGUAACCAGAGGUGCCAAUCUGUCUGAGCCAGCCAGUGCAACAAGCGUAAUUGAGGGAACAGAAGUCCUGGAAGACCUGGAUGUACUCAGAGGUUGUACCUUGCUAAUGGGGCUUACACUUGUUGUUGUUUAAAAAAAUAUUCCUUGAGCUGGAUGGUCUGAAAGCCAGUCCAAAGGUGAUGUCUCUAAAAAGCAAACUUCUGUGCUAAUGUGAAUAAUUCACAG